GAUGAACGCUGGCGGCGUGCCUAAUACAUGCAAGUCGAGCGAACAGAUGAGGAGCUUGCUCCUCUGACGUUAGCGGCGGACGGGUGAGUAACACGUGGAUAACCUACCUAUAAGACUGGGAUAACUUCGGGAAACCGGAGCUAAUACCGGAUAAUAUAUUGAACCGCAUGGUUCAAUAGUGAAAGACGGUUUUGCUGUCACUUAUAGAUGGAUCCGCGCCGCAUUAGCUAGUUGGUAAGGUAACGGCUUACCAAGGCAACGAUGCGUAGCCGACCUGAGAGGGUGAUCGGCCACACUGGAACUGAGACACGGUCCAGACUCCUACGGGAGGCAGCAGUAGGGAAUCUUCCGCAAUGGGCGAAAGCCUGACGGAGCAACGCCGCGUGAGUGAUGAAGGUCUUCGGAUCGUAAAACUCUGUUAUUAGGGAAGAACAAAUGUGUAAGUAACUAUGCACGUCUGGACGGUACCUAAUCAGAAAGCCACGGCUAACUACGUG
rnacentral:rRNA from 1 species